rnacentral:antisense_RNA from 1 species
ACCCAGGCGCAUGGCUCCAUGAAGCAAGAAGAGGAGGCAGAGCGCGAGAGGUCCCGUCCGCCCCAGCCGCGUCUGGGCCAGGAGGAAAG